rnacentral:rRNA from 1 species
AAUAAGUUGAGUUUGGUGAUGGCUCUGAUUGAAUGCUGUCCAAGUGCUUGACACAUGCUAAUCGAACGUCUUAACCUUAAAAGUUAAGAAGUGGUGUACAGGUGAGUAUAAUGGUAUUCUCCGCCGGCCUUAAAGUAAAGCUAAAUUCUUUAUUUAAAAGGGGAUGAAUUUCUCCGCUUUAAGAGGACAAUGAAUAUCUCCGGGAUAGGUAGUAGUUAAGGUGAUGACUUAACUAGCUUACAACUCUCGUAGUCGAAACUGAAAGGUUGAUCGACCACAUUGGGUCUGAAAAAACCCCAAUGCAUAUUAGUACAGCAGUGAGGAAUCUUGGUCAAUGGCCUAACGGCUGAACUGGCAACUUGGAGAAGUGACAAGUUUUUUAUUUUUAAUAUUUAAUUAAAAAAUAGAAAAUUAUAUUAAAUUUGAAUGAAGCUUUGUUUAUAUAUUGAUAAUGACAGUGUAUAUAUAGCGUCUUGACUAAUUGCGUGCCAGCAGUCGCGGUAAUACGUAAGAGACUAGUGUUAUUCAUCUUAAUUAGGUUUAAAGGGUACCUAAACGGUCAAUAUAGCUUGUAAAAAUGUUAGUAUAUGACUAGAGUUUUAUAUGUAAGAAGGCAGUACUUAAGGAGGAGAGAUAAAAUUUCGUGAUACCAAAGGGACUCUGUAAAGGCGAAGGCGGCCUUCUAUGUAAAAACUGACGUUGAGGGACGAAGGCAUAGGGAACAAACAGGAUUAGAUACCCAAGUAGUCUUUGCUGUAAAUUAUGAAUGCCAUAGGCUGGAUAAAAAUUCAGACUAUAAAUGAAAGUGUAAGCAUUUCACCUCAAGAGUAAAGUGGCAACGCAGGAACUGAAAUCACUAGACCGUUUCUAACAUCAGUAGUGAAGUAUGUUGUUUAAUUCGAUGAUCCACGAAAAACCUUACCACAAUUUGAAUAAUAAAUAUAUUACAGGAGUUGCACGGCUGUUUUCAGUUAAUGUUGUGAAACUAUGGUUUCCAUAAAACUAACGAAAUCCCAUACUUUAUUUUUUUUUUACCAUAAAGUAAUUUUUUCCACAUAGUUGGCGAAAAUAAAAGGGACUAAGACAAGUCAUCAUGGCCUUGAUAUUGUGGGCUAUAGACGUGCCACAUAUUCCUAGACAAAGAGAUGCAAAAAUGUGAAUUCUAGCUAAUCUCAAAAAACAGGAUAUAAAAAGGAUUGUAGUCUGAAAUUCGACUAUAUGAAUAAGUAAUUACUAGUAAUCGUGAAUCACCAUGACACGGUGAAUAUACCUUUGGAUUGGUACUAACCACUCGUCACAUGCUGAAAGGAACGUGCGCAAUAAGUUUGCUUUUUUAAUAUAUUGUAAAAACUAUAAGUAGUUUGUUUUCCUUUAUUAAAAAUCUUCGUAUGCGUGGUUCUAAUUAGUGUAAAGUCGAAAUACGGUUCGUGUAGUGGAAGUUGCACGGGAAUAAUAAAAUUU